GUGAUCGCUUUGGCAGCACGUAUGCUAAAAUUGGAAUGAUACAGAGAUUAGCAUGGCCCCUGCACAAGGAUGACACAUAAAUUCAUGAAGCAUUCCAUAGUUAA